UACGUAGGGUGCGAGCGUUAAUCGGAAUUACUGGGCGUAAAGCGUGCGCAGGCGGCGCCGCAAGUCAGGCGUGAAAUCCCCGAGCUUAACUUGGGAAUGGCGCUUGAAACUACGGUGCUGGAGUGUGGCAGAGGGAGGUGGAAUUCCACGUGUAGCGGUGAAAUGCGUAGAGAUGUGGAGGAACACCGAUGGCGAAGGCAGCCUUCUGGGCCAACACUGACGCUCAUGCACGAAAGCGUGGGGAGCAAACAGG
rnacentral:rRNA from 1 species